AAAAAUUUAAGUUGUUACAUUGCUAAUAGAUUAGCAACUGACGGAUAAAUUGGUUGCUAGUAGCAACCGAUAGCAACAAAAAACUAAAUUGAAAAUCAAACUAAAAAGAAAAAAAAUAAAUUUUUGAUUAAAAAUUAUCAGCUUGCUACUAGUAAUUGAAAUUAGUUAUUAAUAACAACCGAUACAUAAUCGAUUGCAAAAAACUCAAUGCCUUUAGUUUGACAAAUUUACAAUAAUUUUGUAAGUCGGUUGCUAUCUGCAACUGAUUUAGUAAUCGAUUAUUAGAUGCUAAUUUAAAAGAAGAUAAAAAAUUAAAUUUCCAAAUAACAAUUGAAAAUUCUCAUAAAAAUAUUUUAAAAAUUAAAAA
rnacentral:misc_RNA from 1 species